UGCUGCUCCGAGCGAGGAGUUGAGGACCACUGGCAGGGCUGGGUGCUGUGCUCCUCUGCCUGCAGAGCAGGAGGGUGCCUGCCCCGGCCCUCGGGGUGCUGUGGGGAAGGACAGUGCUCAGGACGCUCUGGGGAACAACAGUAUUGAUGUCCCCGUGUCACUGGCUUGGUGCACCACCAGGCCAUCCUCCCCCAUCAUCCUGGAGCGUGCAGGCCCCGUGGUGGUAAACAUCCUCCUGCAAACUGAGCUAUGGGAAAAAGAGCAGUGGAGAGUCCAGGGCUUCAUUUUACUCAGCUGUGUCUGUGUGACUUGGAUGUUAAAAAAGAUCUCCCAGGCUCAUUAUAGUGAAGCCAUGGUGAGAUACAACAGCAGUUGUAGGAGAGAAGCCUGCCCACCUACUUUACAGGAACAGAUGGCUCUCCCCCUCCAGACCCCACUCAAACACCAGGCACACGCCGUGAGCCCGCCGGCACUGCUCUUACCAGACACCCUCCUUGUGGCUGGGCCUGGCUCACCCCACUGUGAAGAACCCACGUCUCAUCCGUGGCACUAACAGAGGUGUCCCCAUACCCAGAAGGUAAUAAAAACCCAAACCAACUCUGACAGCAACUUUGCAGGCGAAAUGUCCAACGCAUUCAAUGCUGAGCUCUCGCUGCAGGACUUGUGGGGUGGAUAAAACAAGCAAGCCUGAGUCCGUUGAAUUGCUUUAGUAAAAGGUUUAUUGGAAAUAUUUUUGUGCAGACAUACAACAGUCAACAAUGCUGUUCAAAGCUACAAAUUUGCUAAGUUGUCAGAACCUUCUAAAAAUACGAGUAAAUGACCUUCAUUUGUAUUCAGUCUGGGAGGGAAACAAACCCCACUGUAAUGCGAUGCUGCGCUGAAACGACCAGAGGACAUUAAUAGAAGGUGAAAAUGGGAAGGCUUCUGGAGGAAAACCCACACAGCACCCAGCUCCCACUGCUCUGCUGGGAGCCAAUUAGACAUUCCCCCACAGCACCACUCCAUGCUGCAUACCCAGAUUAAAACCUCUCCAUCUGUAACAAUAUUUAAGCAAUUUGAGCACAGAUAUGACAGACAAGUGGGCACACGACUCCGCUCGCUGAUGAAAAAGAUGUCAGUAAGGAUCCUGCCACUCAGACCACUGAAUGUGGGACCUCCCGGACUGAAGGCUGUGCUUUGGGGCAGGUUUUCCCACACAGAUCCACAGGGCUCAGCCGCUUCACUGCUGGGGAUCAGCCCAGGCCCUGCUCGAGGAGAGCUGGGAGCUGCUUGGGGCUGCUUUCAGUCUACGUGCUGCCGGAGGUAAGAGCAGUGUGUCUGCACUCACCUCCUAAACCAGAAUAUCAACCAGAAGGGCAAAGCAGAGCACACACGGCAGCUGUUCAACUCCAUGUUUUCCAAGAAACCCAGCAGAUGUUUUGAAGGGGAUUAAUUUAUGCCAAGACAACAUCUGGAACAUCUUCUCAGGGAAGCCACCCAGUAAGGUGGCCAGAACCUAAAACAAUCACGUCUUUCUCUCAGUGUUGGCUUUCUCUCCCUCAGCUUCAUCACUCUGUAAUUACAGGGGUGCUGACCUCACAGUUAUGCACGGUGACACUUUGGCAAGAUUAUGGCUUUCCUUCAUUGUUAGGCUUUGCAUGACUGCCCUGAGCUGGGGGCUUGCCUGCACCAAAUCACUCCUUUACCCACUUACGUUUUGCUUCAGCAUCCAUAGAGACGCUGCGAGAGAAACCCUGCAGAUUUCGAGCUUGUCUCACCAUCACGCAUACAGGAAGGUUUCAGAAGAUGUUUACCUUCUGUCCACACCACAGAUGAGUAGGCCCUAAAUUGGCAUGAAACAGCCACCAGCCUUCAAAUGAAAAGGCCGGCUAUUCUGACCAACAGGGCCCCUCCACCUGCCCACGGGACAGGAACCAGUCCAGGAGCACCACUGAUGAGUUCUACCUGAGAAGUCUGCUCCCUGGACAACUGAAGCCACCCAGCAUCCACUCCCCGUGUGCCCCUGGGGCAAACAACAGCCAGCAAGCAAUCCUGUGAGCUGUCCCACAAACCAACCACUGGUGCCUACACUGGACAGCAGAGGCUGCUGGCAGCAACGUGUUCCCUUCCUCCAAGCUCAGCUUGGAGUCAGAGAGACCUCAUCUUCAGGAGAUAAGAGCACUGCAGCGUGCCUACUUCCAGCCCAGAAGUCUAGGAAGGAACCCAGGGAAGAAGCUUUAUCAUGGCUCUUCAAGGAUGGCUGCUCUCCUGCUAGCAGCCGCAGCAGUCCCUGCCCAGCCAUUUCAACCCUGGCUCCCUCACCCUUCCCGACCACCCAUCCCAGAGCAGAUGGCAGGCCAGAUAACGCUCAGAUCAUCUGGGCUGUCUGCAGGUCACUGAGAAGCUAUCAAUCACCUUUGGGAUGCACCUUUGCAGCCAAGCAGCACAGGGCACUCUCUAGUUUUCAUUCGCAAACAAGGCUCAAAGCCUCCAUUCAUCUUAUUGCCAGGUGAAGGUAUGAUAAGUUAUUCUUUGCACCCGUAUGUGGCUUGCCUUUGUCAUGUAUUGCACUGACAGGUCCUGCGGCCUCCUCCAGACACAGCAUGUGCUUACAUGUAACAGCCAUUCAGCUGUGACGGUGUGAGCAGGGACCGGUGCAGCCAGGCCAGGAGGCUGAGCACUGCGAGGAGCUGAGCCACAGCACAGACCCCGGCAACGGUGAGUGCAAUGGUCUGUCCUGAAACGGCCGGAAGAUUCUUAGGCAGCCUGAGCCCAGUGGUGUGGAGACUGAGCAUGUGGGCAGAAGCAGACUGCUGCCGAAAUGGAGCAGAUACAGCACAGACACAGCCAAUUUCUCCUCCAAGCCAGUAUGGCUGGAAAGACCUGUUGUGGUGUUUCCUAUCAUCGUCGUGUCCUGCUGAGCAGUAGUCUCAGUGAGAGGCCAGGAGUGUGCCCUGCAAACUGAUGGAAGUUUAAGGCAUUGAUAAUGCGAUGAUCCAAAACUAAGGUAAAAUACCCUCUGUGCCAUUAAACCAGGGAUUUAGCUGACAAAUCCAAUGUGCUGCUGGGGGUGAGCACCUGCUCAAGGGCUGCUCCACUUCAAACCUGAGCUGUGAGGCAUAAUAGCAGAACUGUCCCCAGAGUACUUAAAAACAAAAUUAAGUCAUUAUUUAUAAAACCUGGGGAGAAUUUCAAUUGGGCAUUACUGCACUGAUGACUGGAGGCGAUGCAAAACCACAGAGGUGGUGCUUUAGCCCCAAGGGACAAAAGCUGUGGGACAGGAGCAGCACGGGAACCAUGUGCCUCCCCCAGGGCCUUGGGGGUGUCCACAGACAGCCCAGUUGCACCCAGCGUGCCCCUGGCCACCUCAGUCCCCAGAUCUCACUUACUCUGGUCCACCCAAGCAUUCCCUUCUUUAUUUAUGAGCAUCGAUUGUCUCCCAGCCAACAUGCUCCAGUACACGCUGCGAACAUCACACAGGCUUAGGAACAGAGGCCUUCCGUGCAGCGUCUGCUGUGUGCUGCUGGCGGGGCAGGCCGAGCCUGCACACUUCUGGCACGCAUGGAGAAGCGUGUGGGCUGGUGAAGUGCCGACUAGUGAGGCUUGACUGCUACCUUAAUUUACAUCCCUACAGUUUGUGUUAUCUCCAGACACAAUUUCAGAUACAUUAGCAGCUCAGUUUGACUCAGAUACUCAUAUUGGUUAUUUGCCAUUUCUGCUUGACAAGUAAUUCCUGACUUCCCGAGCUGGUCCCAAACAGCAAGGCCUGCAGCCCUGGCAGGGAAAAGGAAAUGUCCGUGUGCUGCUCAGCACUGCUCAGCUCCCUGCCACUCAUUUGUUACUGGGUGGCUGCCAGAGGAAGGGCAGCUUGUGUGCAAAUGAUGGUGUUACAAAAAGGAGCAGGGAGCAGCCAGAUCCAGAUUUAACUCAGGAAAAUCGUGACUUCUUCCUGAAUACUGAAAAAAAAAACCUGACCUGAACCAAGCGCCACCACUGUGGUCAGUGCAGAGAGAUGCCGAAGAAACCCUUCUCUACUCAACCCCAGGUAGUUAAAUCUGGACAGUCAAGCAGAAACCUCCCAUUCCUUCUGCUCCACUACCCUGUCUAGCCGAUGACAUCUCCAUAGAGCGCUUUCAAAGGCCACUGUUAUUGCUACGUGCAUUUGUGUUAAUGAACGAGGAAUCCUGUUGAUACAGAACAGCUGCCCUUCUCCUGUUGUUAACGUGACGCUGGAAUACACCUAAUCAUUGUUCACAACAGCAAGCAACUCCAACAUCCAGCCUACAGUGUAUUACAACAGAUUAAUUCCUGUAAUGACUCCAAAGAAGAAGAAGAAUGCCAGGCCUUGACCUGGGUGGGCUCUGCAGGAUUAACUCAGAUGGAGAUUAAGGCCUUACAGCGAUGAUAAAGCCUGACCCGCCAGCCCCGGUGUCACAUACUGUAUAGCUGUGUGACAAACCCCAUGUGUAAUUCCCAUUGAGCUGACAUCCAACACACGCACCUCAAUCCAAGCCCCCACUCGCUCGAGGGAGGGUUUGUCUUUGUGCCCCCCCCGACCUCAAUUUACAGCGAGGUCAGAGUGAUGCAGCCCACGGCCGGCGCCAACGAAAUGAAUCACAUUGGAUGGCAGCUGCUCCUCCCCGGCACCUCUCACUGGCUCUGUAAAACGUUUGUUGGACCAAGUUAAGAACAGAAAAGACUCAGGGAUCCUUUCUGUUCUCCGCUCAACACAUUUAUUUGCCCUCCUCCAUUAUUCAGAGGUUUUUAGAAGUUUUUUUUGGUAUCCUCAAGAAAAACCUCCACAUUGUUUACGUACCGAUGUUUAGUGUGUGGCUUAGAGUACAAAGAGUGAGCUGAUCUCACGUUGUCUCAGUGGGAAGUUAAUUUUCCCUGUGGUGCUACAAAAGGAAGAAGCAGUUAGCAGUUUCGAGGACACCUCACAUUUCCUAAAACGAUUUUGCUUCUAAAUGAAAGAAACUGUUUAACAGGUUAGAUCGGGAUUAAGAUUUGCGAGCUCCUGGGAUCAGGUUUAGCCUUCCUUUAUUUAUUCUCUCCCCUACAAUUCCUGCCUUUAAACAAAAGUAAUCUCCCAGAAAAACACACGCACGCACACACUUGGCCCCUCGACAUUCGCGCCUAUGGCAAAAUUAUUUGCAGUUUCCCCUUAUUGCAUAAUUGUCUCAUUAGCACUGCAGAAAGAAGGCGAUGACUUUUCCCUCCGUGCCAUCGACCUAAUCCAGGAGCAAUCCCGCCUGGUGUUGCAAGAGCCAAACCUUCUUAACACAGGAGGGGACUCGGGCCCCCGAGGUGGCAUUGGGAACCAGCCUGCCGCUGGAGCGCCGGCAUUCCCUCACAGCCCAUCAGCGAGAUGAAGCCAGCGAGCCAGGCCGGCUUCUUUCCUUUUCUUUGCUAAGCAUAAAUAUUCAUAUUCAAAUUGCUUUCGGAUAUAUUUAAAUCAACAAAAGUUCUGGAUGACGGUCAAUAGGGCAAGAAACAGCUCCAACUUUUUAAAUGCACAGAUGUAGUAUAUACAUUAACCACAAAACCUGGCUAGAACACAGCAGUAUUUACUUUAUGCUAUUCAGAAACGUGGCUUGGCGACUAAAAUUAAUAGAACUUGUCUGGAGGACAGCAUAAGCUUUCUAAGAGCUCUUUCAGCUUUAAGUUAUGCCCCGGUUUUCCCUCUUUUUCCAUAGUGCCAAUGUAUGCAGCAGCACGCUUGCCCCACUCACAGAGCGAGUCAGUGAAGGCAGCAUUCCUCGCAGGGCUCGCCAUGCAGAGGGCGGGCAGCCUGCGGACGGAUCUGCUUUAGAGAAGGGCCCGCUCUGGCCGCACAAACAAACAGCAGGUCUUCCCUCCACAAUGAGCAGCUCUGUGUGCACGUGUUAACAUGCGUGUUAACCUUUCCUAACUUCCCCCAGCCUGCCCGUCCCACCUGGCUGGAGGAACGCCUCUGUAGGGUCACAGCACAAGGCUCCCGUGUGCGUGCACACACUCUUCCGUCUACAGAUGUGAGAAGCUUCCACCUCUCUGUCCCCACUGGUUCAUUCUAUUGUUAAAAUGGGAGUGGGAUAAUGGAGGAAAAUCCCAGGCUAAAUCUGAAGCACUCAUCGAAAUACAACCUGCAGUUACCUAUGUGAGUUCCUUUAUGUGAGAAUGCCAUGUGCUCCACACAGCUGCCUGGCAAGCUCUCCAGCUCCCACAGCCUGGCUGUGUGAGUAAGCUAUUAAUCUGUUUUCAGAAAGCUAAGAUAGAGCCCUAAUAAAUCCCGUAGGAGGGCAAGAAGUAUUCUAUAUAAUUCAUUGCUAUUGUGUUAUUCUGUCAUAAGAAGGCAAUAAGCAUUUUUAGCUACAGAUUGUGUUUCCACUGCAAUCAAAAUUUUUAUGCCAAAUUGUCUGUUAAAUAUUUCAGUCAAAUCUAGUAAUCAGUGAAUGCUGGAGGGAAUAAGGUCUACAUGCAGCCGCGUGCUCCUGGUCUGUAUGUAACAAAACAGGAAAUCUCAGCACCCUGUUCCAAUUAAGCAAAGGCUGAUUUCUCAUGGAACAUAAAUUUUCAGCUUUUCUCCCAGAACAACCUUAUGCUGAUGCUUUAAACAGUGGUAAAACAUUGUUUUUAAUUUCACACCUCACAUAGCACAGUCAAAUGCUUCAUAACAACAUAAACAAAACUUUAGGCAGAGCUUUGCGACUGAAGUCAAACAAUGAUUUCCCCCCACAACAUGUACUACUCAAGGUUUGCAGGGAGAAUACAGAAACGUGUUGGCUAAGGCCACAGAAAUGAGUUCUCUGGUGUCUUGGCUGCUGCUGACAACCCUAGUCAAGAAUGUGUUAAGAGUGGAUGCACUGAUCCAAAUCCCAUUAUUCCCACCACCCAUCAAGCAAAGAACCAUUUAUUCUAUUUCUGUUCUCCUUUUGGUUGUGUCGUAGGAUCGAACAACUUGUGACUGGGAGACAACACCGUGUUCUUCUUGAGAAAACGCAUAUCCAUCUGAAAAAGCAAAGGAAGAAGAAAAAUUACUGGAGUUCAGCUCAAAGCUGUGCCCACGUGGAUGCCUGCCAGCUCUGCCUUACUGCUCCCUCCCAGGCCACACUGGUGUACAUGGUCAACAUUUCCCUCUGAGCUGACCCAGCUAACAAACUUUGCAUAGAUUUUGGACACCAGCUUGACUCCCACAGUAGCAGAGCUUCUUUAAAGACUGGACAGGCAGGUGGAGAUUUGCAUUUUUGGUUGACGCUAUCGUCUGCUUGGUAUCUGUGGUCUGCCUGAAGGAACACAGAAAUGUCUACACCACAGCUGGAUCUGAGUCACAUCUUCCUAAGUCCACUCAGGAAUUUCUUUUACUUUUUUAACAAGCUCCCAGGUGUCACCAGCAAAUUGCAUUGAGCAACUCUUGUCUAGUCACCCAAAUCUUGAAGAAAAGAAACUUCAGCAUAUUCUGGAGGUCUCUGUUUUGCACAAGUUAAUCCUGUGAGCGAACAUAAUUCUUCAGUCUCCCUAGAAAUUACUCAGAUGAGAAGAACUACAUGUCUGAUUUCUUUUAAAGCAUUCUGGACAAGGCAAGCGAUGUUUCUGACAUCAUCUGCGAAACACCACGCUGCUGGUAAAACCAUCACAACAACUAAUGGACCGAGACAGUAAAACUCAAAACAGUAUUAAAAUCAGCCAUGAGUUUACAGAAGAUUCUGAACAGAGCAAAGCACAAUAUUCUCUGUGACACCGAGAAAGGAUACAUUCACUGAAAAUGAGUAGUCAGAAUGGAAAAGAUUUGCAUCGUGUCAAAAUACAGAGAAAAUGUCCCAAGCUACACAGAACCUGAUAAGGCUUUGUAGUAAGAAAGUAGGCAAGAGUUAGCAGGUGUGAAUUCUGCCUAGGAGAACCUAGGAAUGAUACCACAGCCCUGGAAGUGGGAGCUCAUGAACUCCUGCCUCAUAGCCACCCCAGGUAGAGAUGCAGCAUCAGGUAAGGGAGGACAGAUGUGCCAAGUACUACCCAGAGACGUAUUUCAGGAGUCCUCCCUUAACAGGCUCAAGCCAUAUUUCCCCUGGAUCACGUACCCAGAGAGAAAAGGCUGGAGCAGGAUAUGAAGGAGACCUUGCUGGGAAGAGAGUCUUGUUUAGUUACUUGGGAGGGUCUUCUCUCACAGAAUGGGGGUCAACAUCACCUCUGGAGCCACAGGGACUUUGCUGGAGAUUUGAGUUCAGAAGGCAGAACGUACCCUACCUUAGCAGAAGAGCACACUAGCAGAAGAUUAACUGACCUGAACCACAAGCACAGCAGGAAACUUUUGCUAGCAGAUGGAGGAGGUUCAAACAGAAAUACAUCAUCCAGAACUAAGAGUAAUCACAUUUCCCACUUAGAGUGAUUGUAACACUGUAGGAACUUUGAUUUCAUUACGUGACUGGUCCUGGCAUCCCUAUUCAUUUUCCCUGAGCGAUUCCAUGCCAAUAUACAUACAGCUACAGAGGUACA